rnacentral:tRNA from 1 species
GGGGCUGUAGUCUAGCACGGCAUGACGACCGUUAGGCGGCUCAGUCCGCCGACCGUUAGGGGCUCCAGAACCUUAAAUGGACGGGUUUGCGACCCGUAGGUCGCCGGUUCAAAUCCGGCCAGCCCCACCA